UUUUUUUUAAGUGGGCUUUAGAAUUUUUGAAAGAUUUUUGAAUUUUGGCUUUCAAUUAAUCUGCAGUCCUACGGGCAUUAAUUAUAAAUAUAAAAUGAAUGUACAUUUAAUAGAUAGGUCAGGACACAGUUUGAACAUUUUAACCAUGAGGUUUUUAGAUUGCUGCAGUCUAGACCUGAUUAGAGAUUAAAAAAAAAAAAAAAAGAAACAUGGAAACAUGCACAAAUAAGAUUAAAUGACUAAAUCCCAUCAUGGUGGUAGAUUAACUGCCCCAGGUGUUCCUUAUGAUGUGCCAUGAUGCUUAAUGAGUUCCUUAAUGAUUUGAAAAGGGGAAGGGAUAGUAUGGCAACAAAAUUUGUUAGGACACUAGGCUAUAUAGGUGUACAAGAACCUGAUGUGACUGUAGAGAAUGUUAAGGAAACUUAUAUAAGAUUUAUUUUUGCCCACGUUCAGACUCGCUCGCACACAGGCACCCGCACCACGCUCCCCUUACCCUCUCCAUGGCAGCAGCCAGGCUGGGCUGGAACCAGGGAGCACCACUGCCAUCAGAAGGGGACCCCAUGCCUUCACCCACUGUCCCCAUACUCACCCAUGGGCUUCCCAUGGAGGCAGCUACUUCCUUGA
rnacentral:lncRNA from 1 species